CCUACGGGGGGCUGCAGUGGGGAAUAUUGCACAAUGGGGGAAACCCUGAUGCAGCAACGCCGCGUGAGCGAAGAAGGCCUUCGGGUCGUAAAGCUCUGUCCUAAGGGAAGAAGCAUGACGGUACCUUAGGAGGAAGUCCCGGCUAACUACGUGCCAGCAGCCGUGGUAAUACGUAGGGGGCGAGCGUUAUCCGGAAUUACUGGUCGUAAAGGGUGCGUAGGCGGCCCUUCAUGUCAGAGGAGAAAGGAUACGGCUCAACCGUAGUAAGGCUGUGAAACUGUAGGGCUAGAGUGCAGGAAAGGAGAGUGGAAUUCCCAGUGUAACGCGGAGAUGCGUAGAUAUUGGGAGGAACACCAGUGGCGAAGGCGGCUCUCUGGACUGUAACUGACGCUGAGGCACGAAAGCGUGGGGCGCGAACAGGAUUAGAUACCCGAGUAGUC
rnacentral:rRNA from 1 species